CAUUAUCCUUUUGCGUAGUAUUUUUACUAAUACUACACGCGCAAUACACUCAUGUGUUUGCGAAAAAAUGCACAUCGGCUAUAGAUGCUUGUUUAUAGCCGCUAAAAUCCAUACUUGCUUGAGUAUGGUCGGGUACCUAUGAAGUUUCUAACUUCAUAAGCAGUUUUAGCUAAAGACUGUGUGGUGUAAAGAUUAUUCAACUAUUUGAAUAACGCCCGCUUAGCUUAUUGUAAAAUACACUAUAUAAAAAUUGCAUUAAAGGUUAUUUUUGUGAUAUUUUGAUCUCCUAGUUACUUAGUGACUUUAGAGAGCAAUAUUAACACGAAAACAACCCUAUGCGGUGGAUCACUUGGCUCGCGAGUCGAUGAAGAGCGCAGCAAACUGCGUGAAUUAAUGUGAUUUGCAGGACACAUUGAUCAUCGAUAUCUUGAACGCAUAUUGCGGUUAUGGAUCGCUUCCGUGACCACGCCUGUCUGAGGGUCGGUAUUAAUAUGUAAAUAAGUGAAAAGUGAUCAUGUCGCUUUUGCUUGGCUGUUAAAGGUUUUAUCAGCUUAAGAAUAUAUUAACUAAUCUUAUGUUAGUUAAAAUACACAAUGUUGUUUCAUUAGUGUUAAUCUUUUGCUUUGAGCAAACAAAAAUUGCUUAGAUAACUCUUAUUUGUUGGCUCCUAGUUUAUAAGAUUAACCUUAAAGUGAAAUGAAUAAAAAGUGUAAUUUAUAACUUUCAUAUUUCGACCUCAGAUCAGACGAGAUUACCCGCUGAAUUUAA
rnacentral:rRNA from 1 species